UACGUAGGGUGCAAGCGUUGUCCGGAAUUAUUGGGCGUAAAGAGCUCGUAGGCGGUUUGUCGCGUCUGCUGUGAAAACUCGGGGCUUAACCCCGGGCCUGCAGUGGGUACGGGCAGACUAGAGUGCGGUAGGGGAGACUGGAAUUCCAGGUGUAGCGGUGAAAUGCGUAGAUAUCUGGAGGAACACCGGUGGCGAAGGCGGCAUCCUGGACCAACACUGACACUGAGGAGCGAGAGCCAGGGGAGCAAAGCGGG
rnacentral:rRNA from 1 species